CGGCGGACGGGUGAGUAACACGUGGAUAACCUACCUAUAAGACUGGGAUAACUUCGGGAAACCGGAGCUAAUACCGUAUAAUAUUUUGAACCGCAUGGUUCAAAAGUGAAAGACGGUCUUGCUGUCACUUAUAGAUGGAUCCGCGCUGCAUUAGCUAGUUGGUAAGGUAACGGCUUACCAAGGCAACGAUGCAUAGCCGACCUGAGAGGGUGAUCGGCCACACUGGAACUGAGACACGGUCCAG
rnacentral:rRNA from 1 species